UCAUAAUGGUGGAGCUAAAUUUACGACAUUUCUCUUGGCUAAUUCCUACCUGAUUUAGCAAUAUGUAUAUUUAGCUCUUUCUGAUGUUCCCUCUUUGCUGUUGACCAACAGUGAAAAAUAGUUGGUUUUCCACUUGGUGGUGUCAGGACUCAGCCGACAGAGCUGUAAAGUUUUUGCCGGUUCUGCUCCCUUCUGCUUUCUCCGCAGGUGUCCGCAGUUGACAGGUGGGCCACCUAUGGCUGGUUCAGCAGCCUCUGAUCGCGCUAUUAGAGCAGCAUACGACAGCAGGAGGAUGCCGGAGUGUUAACCAUAGCGGUUUCCUCUUGUGCCAAAUCCUAGUUCUGAGUCUCCACUAGACCCUCCCUUUUCACCUGGCUUCAAGCAAGGUGCUUCGAGUCUGGUUUCUCCUGCUACCUUGGAUCACAGGAAAGUAAGAGCUGCUCGGACCACCCUCUAACCCACGCCCAACUGGUCCCUCGGACACCUGCCACCUACUCCAUCGAUCUGCGCUGAGUCCGCUCCGUCCUCCCCACGUCCGGUGAAGUUGAACGGGUCCCGGUGCUGUUGUUCCCUCAUCGUCUCCAUUGCUUCCAUUUUCUCUGGUUCAACUCAAUAAACAGUUAACUGAU